AUUCAAAGAGUGUUUGCCAGUCUUACUAACACUUAAAUAUUGCUUUCUCCCUCUUCCACCUGAGCGGCUGUGUGCCUCUAAACACACCAAAAAAAGUAAGUAUGAGCUUUUUAAUCAGAUCAAAUAUCACUAAAUAUUAUUAUUUAUUGAAUAAAAAUUGAAAGACUUUCUUGCUAACCGAUCUUUGUCUUGUCUCACUUUUGUCUCACUGAGCUUCUUCUGGACACCAAGGCCGAAGAAAGUAAGUAUAAACCUCUGAAUCUGUCUCAUAUCAUUGAUUGUAUUAUUUAUUCUAAGGUUUAACUAGUUGAAACUGCAAAUUUUCAUGAAUUAUAAAGGACGGCCCCAAACCAAUGACUGUCGACUCUCACAUUUCAUUUGGUUGUCAAUGAGAAGAUACUAAUUUCCUACUGCUCACCUUUGUUAAAUUUAUUCUAUUGCUGUCAAGAAAACUGUUGGUCAUUUAUGUCCGAUUAUUGUCAUUAUAAUUCAAAGAGUGUUUGCCAGUCUUACUAACACUUGAAUAUCACUUUUUCCCUCUUCCACCUGAGGGGCUGUGUGCCUCUAAACACACCAAAAAAAGUAAGUAUGAUCUUUUUAAUCAGUUUAAAUAUCACUUGAUACUAUUAUUUAUUGAAUUAUAGUUUUAUGACUUUCUUGCUAACCAAUCUUUGUCUUGUCUCACUGAGCUUCUCUUGGACACCGAGGCCGAAGAAAGUAAGUAUAAGCUUCUGAAUCUGUUUAAUUUAAGAUAUUGAAUAAUAGUUUUAUGACUUUCUUGCUAACCAAUCUUUGUCUUAUCUCCCCUUUGUCCUACAUUGUCUCCUGAGCUCCUCCUGGUCCCUGAGGAUGAAGAAGGUCUGUCUGAGUUUGUUAACCUGGACCAGGGUGGCAAUACACAUUGCUUGCCAGCUCAGUAAUGUGUGGAGGACGAAAAGAGACAGAAUGAAAUAAAUAAAUACAUCUUCAAAUAAAUACUUACGUAUGUCAUUAAUUAAUGAAAAUGGGAAUUUAAUAGGCAACAUUAAUGUGCCAUUAAAUGUGUCAUUAAUUUAUUAAAAUAACAGUUUAUUCAAUGUCAAAAUAUAUUUACUUAUUUCACUAUUUAAUCAAUUAGCCUAUUUCAUGGACCUGUGUUGCAUCGCUUCAUGAACUUAUUUUAUCUGUCAAACUCACCCAUCAAAGUCAGUGGGCAGAUCCUAACACCUGAUUGGUUACCUGGCACAUCAAGUCAAAACAGAUCGACUCCAGCUAAUGGAUUGACGCAGCAGUGUAGGAAGAAAACUCAGCAUUGAAACGCUCCGUACAGAGUGUUUCUGCGCAGAAUUAAAGGCAUAGAAUAGAUACUAUUUUUUGUUACAAAUUUUUCAGUUUCAACAAAAACUGAGUUAGAUAAAACCUGCUGGAGGC